GGCGGAGUAGCUCAGUUGGUAGAGCACAGGACUCAUAAGCCUGGUGUCGAGGGUUCGAUUCCCUCCUCCGCUA
rnacentral:tRNA from 1 species